UAAUACGAAGGGUGCAAGCGUUAGUCGGAAUUACUGGGCGUAAAGCGUGCGUAGGCGGUCUCUUAAGUCCGUUGUGAAAGCCCUGGGCUCAACCUGGGAACUGCAGUGGAUACUGAGAAGCUAGAGUGUGUCAGAGGAUGGUGGAAUUCCCGGUGUAGCGGUGAAAUGCGUAGAGAUCGGGAGGAACAUCAGUGGCGAAGGCGGCCAUCUGGGACAACACUGACGCUGAGGCACGAAAGCGUGGGGAGCAAACAGGAUUAGAUACCCUGGUAGUCCACGCCCUAAACGAUGCGAACUGGAUGUUGGGCUCAACUCGGAGCUCAGUGUCGAAGCUAACGCGUUAAGUUCGCCGCCUGGGGAGUACGCUCGCAAGAGUG
rnacentral:rRNA from 1 species